UCCAGCAGCUCUCUUCUCUAAAAGUCGUCUUGUUCUCCAUUUUCUUGCUUUACCCCUACUUAAGAUCUGGUGUAUGUUUUCUGAGAGAGUUUCAUCCUAUUAUCAAUCAAAAGAAUAAAUGGCUCUUGAAUUUGUUACUGACCCUGCAGUGCAACCUUUAAUCAAAAAAUUGAUUUCGUAUUCUUUUUCGGAGGAGAUUAAUGUUUUUUGGGGUUUCAAGGGUGGGCCGACGAAGUUCUUUGAGUCUUUAAGAGUUAUUCAAGGUGUCUUAGAUGAUGCUGAAAGGAUGCAAUUGGAAGAUGACUCGAUAAAAUUAUGGUUGAGAGAACUCAAGGAUUUGGCUUAUGCCACUGAUGACAUUCUCGGUGAGCUUCAGUAUGAAGUUGUUCGUCGUAGAAUCGAAACACAAAGUGGGAUAAGAAGUAAGGUAUUUAACUUCUGUUCUUUUUCAAACCCAAUUUUAUUUCGUGUCAAGAAUACUUAUAAGAUUAGAAACAUCAAUCAUAUGUUCGAUGAAAGCACAAAGACGAUGAAGAAUUUCGAUUUUAGUGUUAAUAAUGUCAAAAGAGAAACACCAUGCUGUUCUACUUCUUCUAUGUCUUCGCUGUAUAACUAUGAAUCAAUCAUCGUUGGGAGGGAUGCAGAUAAAACUAAACUGAUAGACUUGUUAACUAAUAGCUCCAAGAAUAGUCACGGCAUAAAUGCUGUGAUUAAUAUUGUUGGGAUGGGAGGUGUUGGCAAAACAACACUUGCUAAAUUGGUCUAUAGUGAUGAGUCAAUAACCAAUCAUUUUAGUACAAAAUUCUGGGUCUGUGUUUCCGGAAGUUCUGACGAAAAGGAGAUUUACAUUAAGCUUUUCCAUUGCAUCAAGACAAACAGGAGUUACGAUGAGGAGACUUAUAACAAGCUCUCGGAAUCCAUCAAGAGAAACACAAGAGAUGGGGCCUUAAAGUUAGAAGAGAUGGUAAAUAUCUCGAAAGAGAUCCUUGAGACCAAGAGAUUUCUAUUAGUACUCGAUGAUGUCUGGUAUGACGGUCGCAUCAAUUGGGAGAAGGUGGUGAAAGGUCUUCUGUUGAUGGGUGUCGAUGGAAGUAAAAUUUUAAUGACCGCACGUCGUAGCGAGAUCCUUUCUAUAAUGGGUUCCAAAUAUACUUACAGGUUGCCAGUAUUACCUGUAGACGAAUGCUUUUUUUUGUUCAAAAGAAUUGCUUUUGGACAUGGAGGAACAGAGAAGUCCCUAAAUCUGGUCCAAAAAGGCCAAGACCUCAUGAAGAAGUGUGGAGGAUCGCCUCUUGCUGCAAAAGCUCUUGGGGGAUUGUUGCGCUCUAAAAAGUCCGAAGAAGACUGGAACCAUAUUUUGAACAACAAAAUAUGGAAUCUCCCCAACAACAAUGAAGAAAAGGUCAUCUGUAUAUUGAAGUUGUGUUACGAGAAUCUAUCAGUGAAUCUAAAACAGUGUUUCUCGUAUUGCUCAAUCUUCCCGAAGGACUACGUCAUUCAGAAAAAUAUGCUAAUCCAGUUGUGGAUGGCAGAAGGAUUCCUUUGUCCCUCGGGAGAAGCCAUAUCAAUGGAAAGCAUUGGUAAUAGAUAUUUCAGUAUUUUGCUGCAAAAUUCCUUCUUCCAAGAUGAAGUUAGAAAUGAGUGGGGAGAAGUAAAAUCGUGCAAAAUGCAUGAUCUUGUACAUGAUCUUGCAUUAUCUGUUUGUGGAAGCGAAUGUUCAACGGUGGAUGCUAAGUCCGUUCAGGAAGAAAAACUUACUAGGCUUCGCCGCAUAAGAUUGGUCGAUGAUUAUGACUCUCCAUUUCCCGAAGCAAUAUACAAAGCAAAGCAAACACGCACAUUUAUUUAUAACUCUCCACGGUCAGGACUUAAGGUUUCUGGGCACCACUUGGAUCAUAUCUUCUUGAACCUGCGAUGCUUGCGUGUCUUGGAUAUAAGUAACUCUGAGAUUUCAGAUUUACCACCAUCGAUAUGCAUGUUGAAGCAUGUAAGGUACCUUGAUUUUUCCCACACUAAGCUAACAACAUUUCCAAACUCUUUCACCUGUCUUUAUAAUUUGCAGACUUUAAGACUCAAGUACUGCGAUAGGCUUAAAGAUUUUCCUGAAGGCAUGGGUAAGCUUGUUAGUUUGAGACAUCUUAUAACCAGUCAAGAUGAAUCAGUUCUAAUGCCGAGGGAAGUAGGAAAAUUAAGUUGCCUCCAAACGUUAUCUGUUUUUGUUGUGGGCAAGGACAAUGGGUUUGGAGUUGAUGAGUUAAAAGAUCUUAAUCUUCUUGGAGGUAAACUGACGGUGCACAGUAUGGAGAACAUCAAAGAUGCAGAAGAUGCUAAGAGAGCAAAUCUAAAGGAGAAGAAAAACCUUCAAAACCUGGAACUUCUCUGGAAUAAUGAUAAUUGUGAUGCAAAUUACGAUAAUAAUGCAGUUUUAGAAGAUUUUCAACCGCCCCAAAAUCUUAAGAGGUUGGCAAUUUACAAUUUUCUAUCUGUAAAGUUCCCGUCAUGGAUGAGUACUGCUUCUUGUUUUCCAAAUUUGGUGUCAGUCAUUUUACAUGGUUGUCAUAAAAGUGAACGUCUUCCUACUUUGGGACAACUUCCAUUUCUUAAGUUUCUCGACAUUAAGGGACUUGAAGCCAUGAGACGUAUUGGUAGCGAAUUCUAUUGCAAUGCCGAAGCAGAAGCAACAAGAGUAGUCCCACCAAACACACCAUUCCAAUCUUUGGAAGAACUCAACCUACAUCAGAUGCCUAAUUUGGAAGAAUGGUCAGAAGCCAUGGAAAAAGUGUCAUCCUCAUCUAGUUUUCCUUGUCUCAAGAAGUUGCACAUUUAUGGUUGCCCGAAGUUAAGAACCACACCAACUCGAUUUCCAUGUCUCACUUAUUUGAGAUUUUGGAACAGCUGCGGCAUACCUUUGAAGUCUUUGCUGGAAAACAACUUAAAGAUCUUAACUUCAAUUGACAUCAGCGGUUCUGACGAGUUCUUGAAUUUACCUCACGAAUUACUCCGCGGAAAUGAACAUCUCAGGUCCUUGACAAUUUCGGAUUGUGAUAAGUUUGAAGAUUUCGGUUUAAAUCAAGAAGAAUCACUUUCAGACAUUUCUUAUAGUUAUCUGGAGUCCAUAAAUAUUUUUAUGUGCCCCACUUUAAGGUCUUUGCCAGAUUUUUCAGGGUUCAAUUAUGUCCAAAGGUUAAGUAUUGAAGACUGUCCAAACCUCAAGUCUUUACCUAAUGGUUUAUGUUACCUCCCAGCACUUGAGGAACUGAAAAUUGGUAAGCUUUCAGAUGACUUGGAGUAUCUCCCAUUCCCUUCCAUGAAAGAGGGAACCAGCAAUUUUUUCUCAUCGCUUCAUAUAUUAGAGAUUUGUGGCUGGACUGGCCUAGUAUCUCUCCCAGAGCAACUUCAGAAUCUUGUUUCAUUGCAGCGUCUUGUAUUAAGAGAUUUUUCUUCGUUGGAGAUUCUGCCUGAGUGGAUGGGCAACUUAGAUUCACUUCAGUGUUUGGGGAUAUAUUGUUGCAUGAAUCUGAAGUAUCUUCCUUCUCGAGAAGCGAUGUUUCGCCUCACUGCACUACGGAGCCUGACAGUCAAAGACUGUCCUCUUCUGGAGGACGGAUAUUCGACCCAGAAGGUAGUCCACAUUCCCGAAGUUUCUAUCGUUUGCAGCUAGUGCGACAAGUGAUAUUCUUUGGAUCGAGUAGGCUAUAUACAUGAAUACAUGCUCAGCUCAGGCUCAAUUUUGUUUGCAGUUGGUGGUGUUUCUCAAUCGGUAAAAUAUUUUUGCUUCCAUGGUUGUGACGAGCCAAGGACCAAGAAGGUAUCUUGGGUUAAUCGUACUAGCUGGAUCUCAGGGUCGGCAAGUGUAUUAUCAGUCUACAAGUCAUAAAGCUAUAUAUCAGAAUUUGUAGGAACAUGGAGCGCGCGACGUUUUACUUGGAAUGUAUCAACGAUUUCAGUCCUGUGUACUUUGUUGUAGCAGUAAAAUACACUCGGCUUCUGUGUGUGUUGCAUCUCUCUGUCAUGUAGGAAUUUUGUAAUAUAUUUGGUGCUCGGAUUGACUUCUCCUGCUUUGGCACGUUCCUAACUAUACGGCACUACAUACGGACCAAAACUAAAAAACAAUAUACUAAUCUAAGAUGAGAAGUAGAA